UCUCCCGCGGACCCCGGCCGGUCGACGCGCACCACCUGAGCUCCGAAGUCCGCCAGGAUCAUCCCGCAGAACGGCCCGGGGGCCAGGCCCGCCAGCUCCAAAACCCUGAUGCCACGCAGCACCAUGGCCAGUCCCGCAGCGACAGCCGAGCGCCCCAAACUCCCACCGGCCCUGCAUCAUCUCUGACCCUGCACCCCGCCUCCCUCACGCGCCUGCGCGGGGGCGCCCGAGAGGCUGUGCGCUUGCGCACUUCCCGCCUACCCGCGGUAGACCCAGGCUAAACUUUAGCCUGUGGUUUCAGUUAAUGGUUUAAUUCGGGUGCCAAUGUUAAGUCCUUGACCUUGAACUCUGGCUUCCGCCAAACCUACCUGGAAUCGCUGCUCCCAUCCCCUACAAGUGACUAAAGGAUAUUAGCUCCCAGAUACUGCUCCAGUGGCCAUGCCUACUGCCGUUCCCAACACCAUGAUCUUUAAGAACUCAGCCUCUGAAACUGAGUGAUAACCUGACCAAAUAGAAGAGAACAAACCUGCUAGAGUACGCUCUGUGAGUGCCUAAGCGCUUCCCGUGAUCAAGACGGCACGUACCUGUACAUGCUGAAGACAGUAUUGCCGUUGUGCAUAAGGUACACGUACACCUCCUCUACGUCCUCAUGCUUCAUCAUGCUGAAGGUGAAGAAAUACACACCUGGAAAGGACAAGGGUUUCCUCAUUCACUCAUCCGUAGAAGAUGAGUCAAGCGAUUGCACACAUGGCUUUGUUUUAUCUGUGUAUUGUCUAGUUUCAUGAUCUCUUCAUAUGAAUAUACUUUCGUUUGCUCCCUUAAAAGGUGCUUAGUUUUUUGGGGGGGGUGGAUUUUGAAACAGGGUUUAUGUGUGUAACAGUCUUGGUUGUCCUAGAACCCACUUGUAGACCAGACUGGCC